rnacentral:rRNA from 1 species
UACGUAGGGGCCUAGCGUUGUCCGGAAUUAUUGGGCGUAAAGAGCUCGUAGGCGGUUCGGCAAGUCGGAUGUGAAAUCUCCACGCUUAACGUGGAGGGCCAUUCGAAACUGCUGUGACUCGAGUCCGGUAGGGGAGUGUGGAAUUCCCGGUGUAGCGGUGAAAUGCGCAGAUAUCGGGAGGACACCAGUAGCGAAGGCGGCACAUCGUGGGCCGGUACUCGACGCUGACGGUAGACGGAA